AACGAACGCUGGCGGCAUGCCUAACACAUGCAAGUCGAACGAGACCUUCGGGUCUAGUGGCGCACGGGUGCGUAACGCGUGGGAACCUGCCCUUAGGUUCGGAAUAACUCCCCGAAAGGGGUGCUAAUACCGGAUAAUGUCUUCGGACCAAAGAUUUAUCGCCUUUGGAUGGGCCCGCGUUGGAUUAGCUAGUUGGUAGGGUAAAAGCCUAUCAAGGCGACGAUCCAUAGCUGGUCUGAGAGGAUGAUCAGCCACACUGGGACUGAGACACGGCCCAGACUCCUACGGGAAGCAGCAGUGGGGAAUAUUGGACAAUGGGCGAAAGCCUGAUCCAGCAAUGCCGCGUGAGUGAUGAAGGCCUUAGGGUUGUAAAGCUCUUUUACCCGGGAUGAUAAUGACAGUACCGGGAGAAUAAGCGCCGGCUAACUCCGUG
rnacentral:rRNA from 1 species